rnacentral:rRNA from 1 species
GACGAACGCUGGCGGCGUGCCUAACACAUGCAAGUCGAACGUAUCAGUGCUUCGGCGCUGAUGAGUGGCGAACGGGUGAGUAACACGUGAGCAACUUGCCCGGGGGAGGGGGAUAACCAUCUGAAAAGAUGGCUAAUACCCCAUAUUCUCCUUUAUUGCCAGAUAAAGGAGGAAAGGUGGCGUAAGCUGUCGCCCCCGGAGAGGCUCGCGUCCCAUCAGCUAGUUGGUAGGGUAAUGGCUUACCAAGGCUAUGACGGGUAGCUGGUCUGAGAGGAUGGUCAGCCACACUGGGACUGAGACACGGCCCAGACUCCUACGGGAGGCAGCAGUGAGGAAUCUUGGGCAAUGGGCGAAAGCCUGACCCAGCGACGCCGCGUGGAGGAAGAAGGUCUUCGGAUCGUAAACUCCUGUUCGGGGAGAAGAACAAGAGAGAAGUUAAUAGCUUCUCUCUCUGACGGUAUCCCCGGAGAAAGCUCCGGCUAAUUACGUG